UACGUAGGGGCCAAGCGUUGUCCGGAUUUAUUGGGCGUAAAGAGCUCGUAGGCGGUUGGGUAAGUCGGACGUGAAAUCCCUCGGCUCAACUGUGGGCGGGCAGCUGAUACGGGCAGGCUGGAGUUCGGUAGGGGAGACUGGAAUUCCUGGUGUAGCGGUGAAAUGCGCAGAUAUCAGGAGGAACACCGAUGGCGAAGGCAGUGUUCUGGGCCAGUACUGACGCUGAGGAGCGAAAGCGUGGGGAGCAAACAGG
rnacentral:rRNA from 1 species